GGGUGGCUAGCUCAGCUGGUUAGAGCGCCGGUCUCACAUACCGGAGGUCACAGGUUCGAGUCCUGUGCCGCCCAUCA
rnacentral:tRNA from 1 species